rnacentral:rRNA from 1 species
AUUGAACGCUGGCGGCAUGCCUUACACAUGCAAGUCGAACGGCAGCACGGGGCAACCCUGGUGGCGAGUGGCGAACGGGUGAGUAAUGCAUCGGAACGUGCCCAGUAGUGGGGGAUAACCCGGCGAAAGCCGGGCUAAUACCGCAUACGACCUAUGGGUGAAAGCGGGGGACCGUAAGGCCUCGCGCUAUUGGAGCGGCCGAUGUCUGAUUAGCUAGUUGGCGGGGUAAAGGCCCACCAAGGCGACGAUCAGUAGCUGGUCUGAGAGGACGACCAGCCACACUGGGACUGAGACACGGGCCAGACUCCUACGGGAGGCAGCAGUGGGGAAUUUUGGACAAUGGGCGCAAGCCUGAUCCAGCCAUGCCGCGUGCGGGAAGAAGGCCUUCGGGUUGUAAACCGCUUUUGGCAGGAACGAAACGGCGCGGGUGAAUAUCCCGCGCUAAUGACGGUACCUGCAGAAUAAGCACCGGCUAACUACGUGCCAGCCGCCGCGGUAAAAC